CUGGGAGGACCAUCUCCUAAGGCUAAAUACUCUCUAGUGACCGAUAGUGAACCAGUACCGUGAGGGAAAGGUGAAAAGCACCCCGGAAGGGGAGUGAAAUAGAACCUGAAACCGUGUGCUUACAAGUAGUCAGAGCCCGUUAAUGGGUGAUGGCGUGCCUUUUGUAGAAUGAACCGGCGAGUUACGAUUUGAUGCAAGGUUAAGCAGUAAAUGUGGAGCCGUAGCGAAAGCGAGUCUGAAUAGGGCGUUUAGUAUUUGGUCGUAGACCCGAAACCAGGUGAUCUACCCUUGGUCAGGUUGAAGUUCAGGUAACACUGAAUGGAGGACCGAACCGACUUACGUUGAAAAGUGAGCGGAUGAACUGAGGGUAGCGGAGAAAUUCCAAUCGAACCUGGAGAUAGCUGGUUCUCUCCGAAAUAGCUUUAGGGCUAGCCUCAAGUGAUGAUUAUUGGAGGUAGAGCACUGUUUGGACGAGGGGCCCCUCUCGGGUUACCGAAUUCAGACAAACUCCGAAUGCCAAUUAAUUUAACUUGGGAGUCAGAACAUGGGUGAUAAGGUCCGUGUUCGAAAGGGAAACAGCCCAGACCACCAGCUAAGGUCCCAAAAUAUAUGUUAAGUGGAAAAGGAUGUGGCGUUGCCCAGACAACUAGGAUGUUGGCUUAGAAGCAGCCAUCAUUUAAAGAGUGCGUAAUAGCUCACUAGUCGAGUGACACUGCGCCGAAAA
rnacentral:rRNA from 1 species